rnacentral:misc_RNA from 1 species
CACAACAAAAUAUGAAGGCCUGGCUUCGCGGCCGGCUGAAAUAUUUUUUUCACCCAUGUCUUUUGCGCACUUGUUGUUUCCUGGGCGGGUUCGCCCGCCACCAGGACCAAACCAUAAACCUUUUUUUUAUGCAGUUGCAAUCAGCGUCAGUAAAAACAAUGUAAUUAUUA